GGUGACCAGCAUUAAUAUAGACGAUGGAAUGCAGGGGAGUGCUGAAGAGCUUUCGAAGGAGAAUCAUACAUGGACUACUCCUCUUUUGAAGAGUCUAGUCAGAGUGAAGAUUUAGGUGAAGAUACCACAAGUAAUACAGUCAGAAUUGAUGAAGGAGCAAGCUCGCAUGAACAACCUAUGUUCAUGGUAUUUUACAUCUCAUUGGUUGAGUUAUUUGAAAAAUUUUGCUUUAACUGCAAGGCUGAAAAUCCAAAAGUACACAUUAAAAACAUUGGUUCGAUGGCCAUUGUAGAG